rnacentral:rRNA from 1 species
UAAUACGUAGGUGGCGAGCGUUAUCCGGAUUUAUUGGGCGUAAAGGGUGCGUAGGCGGCGAAUUAAGUCUAAAUUGAAAGCGUGGGGCUCAACUCCAUGAUGGUUUAGAAACUGGUUUGCUGGAGUGCAGGAGAGGUUAGCGGAAUUCCAUGUGUAGCGGUAAAAUGCGUAGAUAUAUGGAGGAACACCAGUGGCGAAGGCGGCUAACUGGCCUGUAACUGACGCUGAGGCACGAAAGCGUGGGGAGCGAAUAGG